GACGAACGCUGGCGGCGCGCUUAACACAUGCAAGUCGAGCGAGAACCAGGGCUUCGGCCCUGGGGACAGCGGCGAACGGGUGAGUAACACGUGGGUAAUCCACCCUCGGCACCGGAAUAGCCCGGGGAAACCCGGAUUAAUGCCGGAUGGCCCGCCGGCCCUGCGGGGCUGGCGGAAAAGGUAGCUUCGGCCUCCGGCCGAGGACGAGCCCGCGACGGAUUAGCUUGUUGGUGGGGUAACGGCCUACCAAGGCUGCGAUCCGUAGCUGGUCUGAGAGGACGAUCAGCCACACUGGGACUGAGACACGGCCCAGACUCCUACGGGAGGCAGCAGUGGGGAAUCUUGCGCAAUGGGCGAAAGCCUGACGCAGCGACGCCGCGUGAGGGAAGAAGGCCUUCGGGUUGUAAACCUCUUUCAGGAGGGACGAAGCCACUCGGGUUAAUAGCCCAGAGGGUGACGGUACCUCCAGAAGAAGCCCCGGCUAACUACGUGCCAGCCGCCGCAGUAAAAC
rnacentral:rRNA from 1 species